AUGAGGAACUUACCUCCUGUUGAUCCUUCACCUGCCUUAAUAUCUGAAGCCCUAAUGGAAGAAGAUUUCAAAGAUCUUCCUUUCAGGUUAGAGAGGAGACAGGAAUGGGAACAUGUGGAAGAGAGCAGUGUUUUGGUUUGUGCCUUUCUCCCCCUGGCUUUUUGUUAUCCAGUAGCCCAGUUGUUAUUCCUGUGUAGCUGGAUUCUCUCCCAUACCCUAAAGAACUUCAAACCCGUUACUUCACAAGUGCGAAUGCUUUACUAUAAUCAGGCAGCACUUGACUAUUUAGUAGUGAAGCUGUUCUGCUUUUCAUGAAGUUUCUCAAGACUCAUGAGGCAUUCCAGACUGCAGCAUCACUGAACCUUCAAGGCACACUCCAGUCCCUACUCAUCCAGCUUUUGGAAGCAAUAGCACAUAAUGUUGUUGUCAGUCAAAAAAAAAUGUUUUAAAGGGCAACUGGUUAUGUCUUUACUUUUAGCAAGAAUUAAUGUGCCAUUGCUAUAUUGGUUUUAGUUUCAAAAUUGGUGUGAAAAUUACUUAGAACAUGAGUAAGACCCUUGAAUCUUUUUCUUUAGUGUAUUAGGCUCCUAAGUGUAUUCCGUAUACUGGGUUAUAGAAAUUUGAGAGGGAAGAAAUUGUAGGACAAAGGCAGAAUCUGGUUUCUUUCACAUUUUGAACCAGAUCUGUGCUGGCAGUUAGUGAAUGGUAAGUACACCUGUGGGGGAUCUUUUCCAUUUUGAUUUAUAGACAAUGAACUUAAUUCUUAUUUCAGCAAAUGUAUUUCCUCAGCCCCCCUCUCUGAUUUGUAUCAAAGGCCAAUGUUUGCUUCUAAGAAAACAGGACAAAUAAUUAGCUAGUACACACCAACACACAUUCAGAACAGUUUCAGAGAGGGUUAUGGAAACCCACUUUGUUUGUAUCAUAAAUAUACCAAGCAUAGGUACAGGAUGUUCUGAAGAUCAUUACAGGUUUUGAUCAAGGAUUUUGUGAGUAGUCUAAUACCAUAUUCUCUGGUUUAUUUUCUUCUAGAAGUAAGUAGAGUCCUUCAUUCAAAAAACAGCCCAGCUAAACUAUCAUGAGUGCUAGGAUGGGAGUUCCAGACUAAGAUGAAAUGGAAUCUCAUUUUACCCAUUUGAAAGCUAAAUGCUUUAUUUCACAGAAUACUUUAUCAUCUUAAAGUAACAAAUGCCUUUAACUAGCAGUUGAUAAAUGUUUGUAUUUUCUUUACAGUUGUUAAAGAUAUAAAGCUUCAUCUCAGAGGUUUCUUCCCCUUCUGAAAUGGCUUGAAAACAAACCAGCACUAAAUGUGCAAAAUAAAUUAGAAACAUCAAAACUGAUAGUCCCAGGCUCCUAAUUAAAUAGCAUGUGAGCUUUUGUACUUCCUAGGGGCUAGUUUGCCAGCUCCCUCCUCAGCAAACUAAGUUUCCUAUUACAUAGUGAAAUGUCUGUCUUGUUUACCUUCUGUGUACUGGGACAGCCCAAGGGUUUAAUGGGAGUGUGGAUUCUCUACCAAGCUUGUAACAGUUGGAUAGUGGAGAUCACUAUCAGCAAUACAGAUUUCUAUCUUAUUUGCUACUGAUAGAAAUACAUUUUCUAGAUGGUCAAUCUAGAUAAGCAAGGUGCUCUUGCAGAAGGCUUGGUUCCCUAUCUGAUUUAUAUUUUUUUAGCCAUGAAAUAGGAUUCCUGUAUCUGUGGUUAUCUGUUCUGGAAAUGAUGAGAUGCUGUAGAUUUUAUAGGAUUUAAAUUUCCUUUUUCAUUUUCCUUCCUGCUCCACUCUGCAUUUCUCUAGCUAUGCUGUACAAGUUGAGAAUUACUUAGUAUAUGGAAUUACAACCACAUAAUGGAGUGUGACUAUGACUCUGCUAAAAUGCACAGAGAACAUAUUUCCUACUGGAAACAAUGGUUUAAAUAUAAGAUGGGAAUUAUCAGUUACUACUUUUCCCUAGCUUGAUUUGUGGAGUGCAUUUGCUAUUGAUGGCUGGCUAUUAAGCUUUCACUAGCCUUACUUAAACUAAUUUUAGUGUUCACACCUGCAGUCAGCCAGCAGGAGCCAAAAGCAGCAUCAUAGUUGUGGGGCUAAACUCUCUACUUGGGUCAAAAACCCUAAGGAUUAUCACUGAUAGAAUUAUUUGUAGACUGGGCUGCAAAUCCUAAAAUUAAGUAUACAGUGAGUCACGCUCCUCUCUUUUUUUUCUUGUUUUUUUCAACCCAUACUCUCACAUGAAGUGUGUGCACAUAGCUGAUGUGUUCUUAGUGAAGGCUUUUGCACCACAAAAUCAUACUUUGGUUAUAGCCACUGUAUGCAAAAUCAAAUCAGAGAAAUAAGACAGCUAGCAACUAACAGAAAAAAAAAAACCAAAACAUUCCAUCCCAUUUCCUUCCUGAAGUCUACGUAAUUGGCUUAUUUCCUUAUGGGACUGGAAGAUGACAAUGAAAAUCUGUGAUCAAGAGCAUCUAUUCCUAGCUGAGAAUGAAGGAAAUCUUCCUUAUUCCAUCCUAAUCUCACCUGCACUUUCCUGACUCACUGAUUGCACCUGGAGGCAAAGGGGAGUUGGGGGGCACAUUUCUGUCCAAGAUCAGAUAAGUCAUCCAUCAUUACACUAAGAAGAACAUUACAGAAGUUUAAAUCGACCAUUUUUAAAAGUCAGCCCUUUUAAUUCCCUUCAAAUGGUUGUUUGGUUAAAGGAACUUUUGUCUUAAGAUCAGUAGUUCCUAUUUACCAGCUACAGUCUCUUUCUAUUCUGAGCUACAUAUACUAAUAAUUGGAGUUUAAUUACCUUUAUUUUAAAGACUGAGUCCAGAAUCAACUAAUCUUGUUUCUCAAUCUGAAAAAAAUGUAAAAGAAAAGAACUGCCAGAGAGAUAAAAGACAAGCUGUGUUUCUCAAGAUCUGGCUUCUAACAUUCAGAAGUCUGUAGAAAUGCAGCUCCUACAGUGCCAAUACAAGCACACAACUGCCCUUUCUUUGCUGCCACCAGUUUUGCUAUGAACAGAUGAACAGCACUAUAGUCCUUAAUAUCCAUGUCCUUUGCUAAGGAGUCAACUUUGAUAACUUACACUCUUUUAUUUCAACAUUUCUGCUAUUAAAAGAAGGCUGUGUGUGAUACUUCUGCCUGCCAAUAGUGAAGUGGGUUAAUCAGCUCUUCAGAUGUCUGUGUAUUAAGCUUGCAACUCAUGAUUUUUCAGUAAAAGAUGAUACUCCUACAGCAUUGUGUUUGAGAGACAGCCAGUCAGGAAUGCAAGAACAUCAGGAUGCCACUCAGAACUAGUUCUCCCUCUUGGUAAACAUGGGAAGUUGUUUUAUAAUUUUCUCUGAAAUUCUUUCAGUGAAGUUCAAUUGAACUGGAGACUUAUGUGAGAUUGUUACUGAUAAAAUGUAGUUUUAUUAAAUUAUAAAUUCUGUAACAAAAACAAGACAGAUCAAGAAAAAUCUCAAAAAACAAAACUACAAGGACUAGAUGGCAAAGCCAGUGAAAAAGCCAUGGAGAGUGUAAAGGUAAGGAUUUGCAACACAAGUUAACAGCAUUUUUACAUUUCCAUUGAAGGAAGGUAAAUGAUUGCUCUUGUCUAGUAAAAACAUAUUUUAACUCCAAACUCACAUCUAUUUUCUCACAUUAAAUUAAGCAUCCUGCUCACACCCAACACCUUGCUUGAUUCCACAUAGCCUUUAGUG
ensembl:lncRNA